GACGAACGCUGGCGGCAGGCCUAACACAUGCAAGUCGAGCGAGCGGCGGACGGGUGAGUAAUGUCUGGGAAACUGCCUGAUGGGGGGGGAUAACUACUGGAAACGGUAGCUAAUACCGCAUACCAUCAGAUGUGCCCAGGUGGGAUUAGCUAGUAGGUGGGGUAAAGGCUCACCUAGGCGACGAUCCCUAGCGGGUCUGAGAGGAUGACCAGCCACACUGGAACUGAGACACGGUCCAGACUCCUACGGGAGGCAGCAGUGGGGAAUAUUGCACAAUGGGCGCAAGCCUGAUGCAGCCAUGCCGCGUGUGUGAAGAAGGCCUUCGGGUUGUAAAGCACUUUCAGCGGGGAGGCGUUACCCGCAGAAGAAGCACCGGCUAACUCCGUGCCAGCAGCCGCGGUAAUUC
rnacentral:rRNA from 1 species